GAUGAACGCUGGCGGCGUGCCUAAUACAUGCAAGUCGAGCGAACAGACGAGGAGCUUGCUCCUCUGACGUUAGCGGCGGACGGGUGAGUAACACGUGGAUAACCUACCUAUAAGACUGGGAUGACUUCGGGAAACCGGAGCUAAUACCGGAUAAUAUAUUGAACCGCAUGGUUCAAUAGUGAAAGACGGUUUUGCUGUCACUUAUAGAUGGAUCCGCGCCGCAUUAGCUAGUUGGUAAGGUAACGGCUUACCAAGGCAACGAUGCGUAGCCGACCUGAGAGGGUGAUCGGCCACACUGGAACUGAGACACGGUCCAGACUCCUACGGGAGGCAGCAGUAGGGAAUCUUCCGCAAUGGGCGAAAGCCUGACGGAGCAACGCCGCGUGAGUUAUGAAGGUCUUCGGAUCGUAAAACUCUGUUAUUAGGGAAGAACAAAUGUGUAAGUAACUAUGCACGUCUUGACGGUACCUAAUCAGAAAGCCACGGCUAACUACGUG
rnacentral:rRNA from 1 species